CUAAUUAUAUAUAGAUACGCCACUCCGCUGUUGGGGCUGGCGACAUUACCGCCACGCCAAAAUUCCCCCUGGUGACAAUUCACAGGUACUAAUUUUGGGUGUCUCCCUUUGGGAAAAUUGGAAAAGUUUUUUCUCUCCAGUUUCAGUUCAAUUGGUUCGGUUGCAUCGUAGCAACUGGAUCUUUUCAAACUGUUUGUUUUCUGUCAACAACAUCGUGACUCCAAAUCAUUGGCUUUUUAAUGUCCUUAUAAAAUCCCCCGAUUUCGGGCUUCUCAGACCUACAAAAAAACCCCAUGAACGGUACCGAUUCUUUCGGUGGUACUCAUUGACGUGGAGCACAACCUCAGGAUUUGCGAUCUAAAUCGCCUGAGACGACCUGCCAACCAUUCCGCCAAAGCAUCGAAACCUGCACAAACCGCCUCUUGUCCAAUUCAACCAAAAGUAGGUGGUUAUUAGCGGUGCAGUUUUGUCCAUAAAUGCAGGUGUAGGAUAAUAAGUUUCAUCGAAAAUGCCAUCACAAAAAGGUCUUUUUUAACAGGCCCGCAUUUCUUGCUUCGCCCUUCAAUUUGAAGUUUCAACGCGUACAACAACAACCCGGAAACGUUAUCCUGGUGUAACUUCCGCCAGAUCUUUGCCCUUCGAAAUUAAGAUGCGGCCACGACCUGAGUGGUGGCUACAGCUUUCCUUCCUUCAGCAAAGGCUUAGCAGGGUCUGACACCUCACGAAACUUACUCUAGCUGCGACAAAUAACUGCUGAAAAAAGUAAAGUGGAUACCGCCAAGAUCGUUGGCAAGAGGAAAAUGUAGUUGUAAUAAAUGAUUAUUUGUUUACAAUUUAAAAUAAAAUGUUGAUACUGAAAA